UACGGGGGGGGCAAGCGUUGUUCGGAAUUACUGGGCGUAAAGGGCUCGUAGGCGGCCAACUAAGUCGGACGUGAAAUCCCCAGGCUUAACUUGGGAACUGCGUCCGAUACUGGAUGGCUUGAAUCCGGGAGAGGGAUGCGGAAUUCCAGGUGUAGCGGUGAAAUGCGUAGAUAUCUGGAGGAACACCGGUGGCGAAGGCGGCAUCCUGGACUGGUAUUGACGCUGAGUGAGCGAAAGCCAGGGGAGCAAACGGG
rnacentral:rRNA from 1 species